GGUUACUUAGUUUAAGUAAAAUAUAGGUUUUGUAGUCCUAGGAUAAUUUAUUAAGUUAGUGGCCU
rnacentral:tRNA from 1 species